rnacentral:rRNA from 1 species
CUGGUGGAAAGUGGCAGACGGGUGAGUAACGCGUGGGAAUUUACCCAGUGGUUCGGAAUAACGCAGGGAAACUUGUGCUAAUACCGGAUACGCCCUCCGGGGGAAAGAUUUAUCGCCAUUGGAUGGGCCCGCGUCGGAUUAGCUUGUUGGUGAGGUAAAAGCUCACCAAGGCGACGAUCCGUAGCUGGUCUGAGAGGAUGAUCAGCCACACUGGGACUGAGACACGGCCCAGACUCCUACGGGAGGCAGCAGUGGGGAAUAUUGGACAAUGGGCGCAAGCCUGAUCCAGCCAUGCCGCGUGAGUGACGAAGGCCUUAGGGUUGUAAAACUCUUUUGGCGGGGACGAUAAUGACGGUACCCGCAGAAUAAGCUCCGGCUAACUUCGUGCCAGCAGCCGCGGUAAUACGAAGGGAGCUAGCGUUGUUCGGAAUUACUGGGCGUAAAGCGCACGUAGGCGGACUUGUUAGUCAGGGGUGAAAUCCCGGGGCCCAACCUCGGAACUGCCUUUGAUACUGCAAGUCUGGAGUCCGGAAGAGGUGGGUGGAAUUCCUAGUGUAGAGGUGAAAUUCGUAGAUAUUAGGAAGAACAC